GAAAGCGAAGGCGAUCUCCUGGAACAAUACUGACGCUAAGGCGUGAAAGCGUGGGGAGCAAACGGGGAUUAGAUACCCCCGGUAGUCCACGCCCUAAACGAUGAACACUAGUCGUCGGAAUGCUAGUCAUUUCGGUGAUGCACUUAACAGAUUAAGUGUUCCGCCUGGGGAGUACGGUCGCAAGAUUAAAACUCAAAGGAAUAGACGGGGACCCGCACAAGUGGUGGAGCAUGUGGUUUAAUUCGAAGAUACGCGAAGAACCUUACCUAGCCUUGACAUUGAUUGAAUUUUCCAGAGAUGGAGAAGUGCCCUUCGGGGAACAUGAAAACAGGUGCUGCACGGCUGUCGCCAGCUCGUGUCGUGAGAUGUUGGGUUAAGUCCCGCAACGAGCGCAACCCUCGUCCUUAGUUGCCAGCAGGUUAAGCUGGGCACUUUAAGGAGACUGCCUUCGCAAGAAGGAGGAAGGUGAGGACGACGUCAAGUCAUCAUGGCCCUUAUGGCUAGGGCUACACACGUGCUACAAUGGGGCGUACAGAGAGUUGCGAUACCGCGAGGUGGAGCCAAUCUCAUAAAGCGUCUCUCAGUUCGGAUUGAGGUCUGCAACUCGACUUCAUGAAGCUGGAAUCACUAGUAAUCGUAGAUCAGCAACGCUACGGUGAAUACGUUCCCGGGUCUUGUACUCACCGCCCGUCACACCAUGGGAGUUGAUUUCACCCGAAAUUGGGAAGCUAACCUUCGGGAGGCUACCACUUACGGUGGAAUUAGCGACUGGGGUGAAGUCGUAACAAGGUA
rnacentral:rRNA from 1 species